GAUCGCCUCUGCAUUGAUUAUCGUGAACUUAACAACAACACGGUUGCUGACAGGUUUCCUUUGCAUAGCUAGGUUAGCUGGGGCAAAAUACUUUACGUGUUUGGAUAUGGCUAGUGGUUACCAUCAGAUUCCUAUACAUCCUGAUUCUAUCGAAUGUACAGCGUUUGUAACACCAGUCGGACAAAUGUGGGUUUCUUAAGACUACGGUCCAAUAUCUGGGUUAUGAGGUGCGAGCUGGAGAAAUAAGACCCAAUUCCCGGAAAAUACUUGCGUUGAAGUCCUUGCCACCGCCGCAAGCAUUAACAAGCAUCAUGAAACCAAUAUAUUCACUAACUUCGAGCAAAAACACGCUUAACUGGACUGAUGAUUUGGAGGAGAUUAGGAAGAAUGUUAUCAGUACUUGUUAUUUUUGAACCACAACAUCCGAUAGAAUUACAUACUGAUGCGAGCUCUUGUGGAUAUGGGGCAAUGCUAAUUCAUCGGAUCAAGGGGGAGUUUUAAAGUAAAUCCACCUGCCCGCUGAGUCUAAAUACCAUUCGUAUGAAUUGUAAAAAUUGGCUGUUGUUAAAUCAGUUAAACAUUUUCGGCAUUAUUUGCUCGGA